UGGGGAAUAUUGCACAAUGGGCGCAAGCCUGAUGCAGCAACGCCGCGUGAGGGACGACGGCCUUCGGGUUGUAAACCUCUUUUGGCAGGGAAGAAGCGAAAGUGACGGUACCUGCAGAAAAAGCACCGGCUAACUACGUGCCAGCAGACGCGGUGAUACGUAGGGUGCAAGCGUUGUCCGGAAUUAUUGGGCGUAAAGAGCUCGUAGGCGGUUUGUCGCGUCUGCUGUGAAAACCCGAGGCUCAACCUCGGGCCUGCAGUGGGUACGGGCAAACUAGAGUGCGGUAGGGGAGAUUGGAAUUCCUGGUGUAGCGGUGGAAUGCGCAGAUAUCAGGAGGAACACCGAUGGUGAAGGCAGAUCUCUGGGCCGUAACUGACGCUGAGGAGCGAAAGCAUGGGGAGCGAACA
rnacentral:rRNA from 1 species